UACGUAGGGUGCAAGCGUUGUCCGGAAUUAUUGGGCGUAAAGAGCUCGUAGGCGGUCUGUCGCGUCUGCUGUGAAAACUCAGGGCUUAACCCUGAGCUUGCAGUGGGUACGGGCAGACUAGAGUGCGGUAGGGGAGACUGGAAUUCCUGGUGUAGCGGUGAAAUGCGCAGAUAUCAGGAGGAACACCAGUGGCGAAGGCGGGUCUCUGGGCCGAUACUGACGCUGGAGGAGCGAAAGCCGUGGGGAGCGAACAGG
rnacentral:rRNA from 1 species